rnacentral:rRNA from 1 species
ACGGGAGGCAGCAGUGGGGGAUAUUGCACAAUGGGCGAAAGCCUGAUGCAGCGACGCCGCGUGAGGGAAGACGGUUUUCGGAUUGUAAACCUCUGUCUUCGGGGACGAAAAAGGACGGUACCCGAGGAGGAAGCCACGGCUAACUACGUGCCAGCAGCCGCGGUAAUACGUAGGUGGCAAGCGUUGUCCGGAAUUACUGGGUGUAAAGGGAGAGUAGGCGGGAUUGCAAGUCCGUUGUUAAAUCUAUCGGCUCAACCGGUAGCUGCGGCGGAAACUGUAGUUCUUGAGUGAAGUAGAGGCAGGCGGAAUUCCUAGUGUAGCGGUGAAAUGCGUAGAUAUUAGGAGGAACACCAGUGGCGAAGGCGGCCUGCUGGGCUUUAACUGACGCUGAGGCUCGAAAGUGUGGGGAGCAAACAGGAUUAGAUACCCUGGUA